GGCGGCGGGCGGAGGGGCGCGCGGGGCCCGAGGACGCACGCGGCCGGCGGGGGGCGCGCUCCCCCCCCCCCUCCCCUCCCCUCCCUCCCUCCCCUCCCCCGCCCUGACGUCACGGGCCGCCCGCCAGCCCCGCGCUCGGGCGGGCAGAGCGCGUGCGGCCGCCGAGCACAUGGGCCCGCGGGCCGGGCGCGCUCGGGGCGGGCGGGGGGCCGCGCGCAGCCUCGGGCCCCCGCGCCCCCCGCGCCCCCGGGCGCAUUUCCACGCCGAGAGCGCGUCGGCAGCCCCGGCGACCUGCACACGCACGGCGGGACCCACCUUCCAGCCUGAUCUUUUGACCAGAAAGGGAUUAAAAAGUUGCCCAUCCUGAUGGCUGUGCCUGCCGGUUGCAUGGAGCCUCAUUCAGGAUUUCCUGAGCCUCUUGGAUUUACAGUGAUACUCAGCUGCGGGGAGUGGAGGAAGCAUUCUCUGGAAUCACAGACGGCACACGUCUGGAUGCUAAUGAUGGUUUUACGGAUGGCCCCGGCUGAGUGCUUGGCAGAUCCCUGCAGCCUGGAUGCCUGUGGGGUCAGAGGACCGCGGCUUCCUGGGACGGCGGAGGUCUCUGCCCUUAUCUUCAUGCAAAUGUUCAGUUGGGUUGCUGCUAGCCUCACUGAGGGCGCCCCGUGAAACAAUCCUGUCAUACCUCGGAUUUUGGUGCCUUCAGUCUGAAAAAUACACACAUCCAUUUGGUACCCUAGAGGAACUGGAGAAUUGUCUUCCCCUGAAUGAAGCUGGACCAUUCUGGGAUUUGGAGAAAGGGCACUGGCACCCUGGGAGCUGGAGAGAUGCAGCUGGAAGAGCCCGCGCCCGGGGCACGAGGGGUCCCAUGCCAUGUCACGGGCUUGUCCCCAGCUGCCACCGUGCUGAUGGCUUGGCCGCCACUGCUGCUUACUGAGCACACCCGCGUGGGCCCUCGCUGCUGUGCCUUCUGUCGAGGCUCCGGCUCUCUCAUCCCUGAGGGACCCCGGCAUCCCACCUACCCAGGCUCACCAAGACAGGGCCCAUCACCGGUCCUCCGCACUCCUGAGUGUCGCACAGAGCGGGGGUCAGGCCACCUUAGGUUGUUGGGCUAUGGUUUUUGCAGAGUCCUGAGCUCCUGUGAAGAUCUGCUUCUCUCCAGCCUUGGGCUAUCUGCAUUCUUGAACAUCUCCGGGCCCAGAAGGAAAAGAAGAAUGCUGAGCAGCUCAGGGAAUGGCUUGAAUGAAAAGAGGUUGGUACCAUGGUUCGUGUGUUCAGCUUGAUCCCAGAAUGAAACCACUGGGGACCAGAGGAGGAAGGGGCACGAUGAGUGGAGGUUUUGGCGACCAGAAGUAAAAUAUGUUUGUUUCCUCAUGUGCUUUUGUGGAACUGGCAGGAGUUGCUCACUAAGGAGCAGGAAGGUCCUUUUAGCAGAGCUCACCAAGGCCUGAGGAGGGUGGGCACACAGGGAGCCACCAGCUUGUCGAGACUUGGCUGCAUGAGAAGGAUAGAAAAAAUCGAGUUUAUAAGGCACUGGGCGAAUUCUAGGAAUUUCUCCUUGAGAAACACAGGCACAGAUUCAGAUGGUGUGAAUAACAUCUUCAUCUCAAUAUUGUUGGAAACGUCAAACGAUGAGACAUGAUUUAUCAGUAUCCAAUGUUUCUUUUGUAAUCAGAUUACUGGAUAUGUACAGAAACAGGAGAAUAUGACCCAAACUCAGGAGAAAAAAUAGUCAAUAGAAAACGGAAUAGGGGCACCUGGUGGCUCAGUGGUUGAGUGUCUGCCUUCGGCUCAGGUUGUGAUCCCACGGUCCUGGGAUCGAGUUCCUCAUUGGGCUCCCUGCAGGGAGCUGCCUCUCCCUCUGCCUAUGUCUCUGCCUCUCUCUGUGUUUUUUGUGAAUAAAUAAAUAAAAUCUUAGAAAAAAAGAAAAAGAAAAUGGAAUAGAAUUGAGCCAGGGUUAAAGUCACACUUGUGUGAUCGAUUGGUUUUUAUUAUCAUUAAAUAGACUAUUUUUUGGAGCAGUUUUAGGGUCUCAGAAAAAUUAAGUAGAACACACAGAGAGCCCUCACAUACCCCUGUUCCCACGUACGCACUCUCAGCAUCUCCCACACCAGAGUGGGACACUUGUUACAAUUGUCAAAUCCACACCGACACCUCAUUAUCACCCGGACUCCAUAGUUCACGUUAGGAUUCACUCCUGGUCUUGUAGGUUCCAUGACAAAUGUGCGACAUAUACCCACCAUUGUACUAUCGUGUGCAAGUUUCACUGCUCCACCUGUUCUUGUGUCUUUGUGAGGCACAAUCUUUAGAAGCUCCUCAGUUCGGGAUUGGUUGAUCAAGUCAUGGGGUAUCCAUACAAUCGUAUACAAUGCAGCUGUUAAAAAGAAUUUCUGGCUUUAUGGAGUAAUGUGGAACGAUCUUGAAGCGAUGUUCACUUUCAAAAAGUAUUAUCAACCUUAAUAAUGUUGAUUAUGAAAGGAGGGCAUAAAAGAGCGUAGAGUGUGCAAACAGCUCGUCUAACACACAGCCACCUCUCCCUCAUGAGCAUCUCUACUUCUUGCACCUACACUUAACACCUUGUGCGUUCUCACCUCUACGCUCACCUGUACGGCCCAGGAACCAGGCCGCUCCGUGAGGGCAGGACGGCUCUGUCCAUUGGUAGUACUGUUGCCCAGGCCAGUCCCAGGGCCAGACACCUGGUCGCCAUCCGUCAGUAUGUGUGAAUACACGAAGCCAUGAACGGGGGGCGGGAGAGGGGGGGUUCUUUCUACAACUUCCUUCUACCGGCGGUGCUUCAUGCACACAGGUGGCUGAGGGGAAAGCCCCAGACGACCCCUCUCUCUCUCCUGCAUUCUAGCCCGGCCUCCCCUCCUCUCUCUCUUGAAUCUCUGUGCUCUGCAAAGCUUCCUCGUUAUUCCAGGUUGUAGAGACACACAACCUGGGGCGAGGCUGGAAGGGGACCUUGGAGACAGUAAUGUGUAGUGACACCGUCAGUGUAAGUUGGGCACGUUUGACCUCGCUGGCGAAUUUGGUCCUAGGAGCCAGGCGCCCCAGCAGCACGCUGGCGAGUCAGACCUGAUGGGCUCCGCAUCCCGAGCUCUUGCUUGGCUGCCUCUAUGACCUUGGCCGUGUCACUUAACCUUGCUGGAUCUCGAUUUCCUGAUCUGUAAAAGGAAGCUAAAAGUGCUUCUCUCGAGGUUGAUCUCGAGGAUUCGCUCAGAUGGCUAGCGCAAGUGAAAGUGCCCUUUGAGGGAAGACCAGGGGAAAGUGUUUGUCCUGUAGGGAGGAAAGCCAGGAGGGCCCCGUGUUGUCCUCAGGUGCCUCAGCCUUCCCGGGGGGUGCAGGGGGUGGAGUGGGGGGAAUCCCCACUGCAAGUCAGGGAAGUUAUAAUUUGGCUCUUCCUCUUUUAUUCAUUGCACUUCUCUCGGCCGCCCAGGGCUUUCAGCUUAAGCAAAUAAAUUAUCCUGCUCUGCUGGGCUCUGUGUUCUGUAGCCAGCCAUAUGUUUGAGCUUGAUAGAGAUUCUUAUCGGGCGGGUAAUAUUACCCAGCAAGGGAUGACAUUUCUUAUCGGAGGCCCUGAGGAAUCAGAGAUAGGAGCCCUUUCUUUUUACCGGCAGCCAGGCCUCAAUGUGCAGGGCUGGCAGGCAGGGUGGGGGCCGGCCAGGGCGCCAGUGGGCUUGUUGCUCUGCGCCGGGCAUCAGCUGGCCCUCACAUCCUCCACAUGACAACCGCCGCUCCAGCAGCCUGCCUUGUCAUUGGAAGUGGGCCGGUGAGAUUUUUGCAUAUGAUAGAGGCAGGGCAGGGCAGGGGGUGUGAAUGAGGAAGGAAGGAGGGGAUGUGAAGAUGCUGGAUCAGUUGGGGGUAGAGGCCGGGCGCUGACACGUGUGCGGCCUUACCCCUUGAGCGAGGGCCAGGUGGCCUCCUGCUGCAGAGCCCAGGCCUGGGGCCUCUUCCCCAGGCUUCCGCAGAGCGGAGGCAGCCCAGGCCCAAGUACCCACCACGGUGUUGGCUGUGGGAGUAGCGAGGGGCUGGGUCAUGCCCCCCGUCCUCCGCCCUGCUCCGUGAUGAGGAGGCUGUCCUGUGUGGGUGCAGUGGGGUGGAG
rnacentral:lncRNA from 1 species